rnacentral:rRNA from 1 species
GACGAACGCUGGCGGCGUGCUUAACACAUGCAAGUCGAACGGAAAGGCCCUGCUUUUGUGGGGUGCUCGAGUGGCGAACGGGUGAGUAACACGUGAGUAACCUGCCCUUGACUUUGGGAUAACUUCAGGAAACUGGGGCUAAUACCGGAUAGGAGCUCCUGCUGCAUGGUGGGGGUUGGAAAGUUUCGGCGGUUGGGGAUGGACUCGCGGCUUAUCAGCUUGUUGGUGGGGUAGUGGCUUACCAAGGCUUUGACGGGUAGCCGGCCUGAGAGGGUGACCGGCCACAUUGGGACUGAGAUACGGCCCAGACUCCUACGGGAGGCAGUAGUGGGGAAUAGUGCACAAUGGGCGGAAGCCUGAUGCAGCAACGCCGCGUGCGGGAUGACGGCCUUCGGGUUGUAAACCGCUUUCGCCUGUGACGAAGCGUGAGUGACGGUAAUGGGUAAAGAAGCACCGGCUAACUACGUG